GAACAAAACACGGCUUUAAAGACAAUUACAGGAUAGAAACAUAACCUCAAAUAUGGUACAGAAGAAACAGACUAAUCAAAACUAUGAAAGGACACGAACAUUUACAUUACAUUUGAUAGUGAGGAAAGGACAGAAAAACAGGUUCCUGAGGGGCGGAGGAAUGAUGUUCCAGCACUUGGUCGCAUUGUACUUGAAGCUGCCACGAAAAGCCGCAGUCGCAUGCCGAGGAGUUAUCAGCUGUAUACUACAAGUGCGUACUGCAAGAGACCUGCGAGUGGACAUCCAUGACAGCUUUUCGAAGAGAUAUAAAGGGGAUUUAUGUUUUACUAUGCCAAAAAGAAGACUGGCCAGAUGAAGUUUGCGACGGUGAAGCAUUUUAAGAAUAUUGUGCUUAUUCAAAAAUGGCGUGACAUGAGCUCUUGGUGGUACAUUGAAACAGAAGCGGGUACAGGCAUUCUGUACUCUUUGAAUAAGCCGUUUUGUUUUUGAUAGGAGCCGAGGGCCAUACACUAAAUCCAUGUAAUUUAAUUUAGACAGAACUAGUGUUUCAAUCAAUUGAAUGCGCAAGGUUUCGUUAAUAAAAGGCCGUAUGUUGUAGAGUAGUUUAAGUCUAAAGAAACAGGUCCUGACAGAUUCCGCAACAUGCUUCUCAAAUCUUAGUUCGCUGUCCAUAACUAAUCCCAGGUUACGAGCCUCAUAAACUCUUUCUAUUAGUUCACCUGAUAACAUUACGUCUCUAGUUGGUCUGAUCUUGUUUAACUGAGUUUUGGUGCCAAAUAUAAGGUAUUUAGUUUUAGUUGGAUUGAGCAUUAGACUAUUAUCUAAUGCCCAAGAUGCUAUAUUUGCCAGGUCCAUAUUGAGUUUAUUUAUAGCACUAUCUAUUUCCGAGGGUUUGCAAGUGAUAUAUAUCUGAAUAUCAUCAGCAUAAAUAUGAUAUUUACAAUAUGUAAUGCGAGAGCUGAUGUCCGCUGUAUAUAAAAUGAAGAGGAUCGGACCGAGUAUUGAUCCUUGUGGCACACCUCUAGAAAGAUCAAUAUUAUCUGAAACUUUAGUGGAUCCAUCACUUGUGCACAGUUUCACAUACUGGUGCCGCUUGGUGAGAUAACUGUAAAACCAACGCAGGGCACUAUUAUCUAGUCCGUAAUAGCUAAGCUUCGACAGUAACAGAUCUAUAUUAAUACAGUCAAAUGCCCUAGAGAAAUCAAGCAGCACAAGCAGCGUGCACAUGCCUUUAUCCUGUGAACAGAGUAUGUUGUCGGUAACGUCAAGAAGCGCUGUCACUGUGCUGCGGCCUUUCCUGAAUCCCGACUGUACAUCAGGCAAGACAUUGUUUUUCUCUAUGUAGUCAUUUAGCUGUGUGCAUACAAUUUUUUCCAGUAUCUUGGACAUACAUGGUAAUAGGCUAAUGGGUCUCAGGUCCUUUAAUUCAGAUGGGUUGGAGAUUUUUGGCAGUGGGCGCACAAUAGCUGUUUUCCAAUUCUCAGGAAAAGUAGAGGUUGCAAUGGAAGUAUUUAUUAUAUUAGUUAUUAAGUCUAUAGUAUAUGGAAAGGUCAUUAAAAGCAUUUUUAAAUUAAUUAAGUCAUGCCCUUCCGCGUUGGACUUGAGACUCGAGACAGUUUUUAGCAGUUUAUCUGGACUCACUGGCUGAAUAAGAAAUUUAGACUGGUUGUGCCUGUGAAACUCAAAGUAUGUCAACUGCGAGAUAGUCACCUGUGAUGCAAUAGGUAAGUCCAAAAAAUGGCUAUU